GACGAGGGGUCCUAGCGUUGUUCGGAAUCAUUGGGCGUAAAGCGUGUGUAGGCUGCCAUUCAAGUCAGUUGUGAAAUCCCCGGGCUUAACCCGGGAAGUGCUUCUGAUACUGUUUGGCUUGAGUACUGGAGAGGAUAGUAGAAUUCCUGGUGUAGUGGUGAAAUGCGUAGAUAUCAGGAGGAAUACCGAUGGCGAAGGCAGGUCUCUGGGCUGACACUGACGCUCAUGCACGAAAGCGUGGGGAGCAAACAGG
rnacentral:rRNA from 1 species